UUAUUUAUUUUUUUAAUUAGUUAACAUAAUGAGAAACCUUUUUAACUGAAAAUAAUUUCAAUUUAGUGACACCGAUAUCAAAAUAAAGUGGGUUCUCGAUCCGGUUUUAUGGUUUUCUAAAUUACUAAAUUACAUCUCAAAUUCAAAAAAAUUGCAACCUAAACCCGCCAAUUCCACCGUGGAUAGUAGUAGAUUGUCGUGAUUACCGAGACAAAACAGCUUUACUACGGCGGAGAGCUCAAAAUCCGCAACAGCAUAUCACCAUGGCGCCGUCAUGGCUGUUAUUUUAUAACAUACAUAAAUACCCCAAAGCGCGGCAGGUAUAUAGACACAAAAGGUUCGGCGACAGUUUCGGAAUUAAGAAAUUGGAUGAGUCCCCAAGUAUUGUUAACUUGGCAGACAUUGAGAAAAGGGAAAUGCCAUGCUAAGACGUGGGUGUGCGCAUGGCGCGUAUAAAGGGGAGGAAAGGAAAGGCUGAAUUUGGAAAUUGGCUUGGGGAGAGUGGGGUUGCUAUAGGGUCCUAUUUCCGUUGGCUUCUUGUUGAGAUACAGACUGAUCAGAGUGAAUAAUACUAUUAUACUACUCCGUCUAAUUUCUAUGUUUGGUUUCCUACAAUUUGGGGUGUGGUGGUGUUGAACAGAUCGUGGUGGUUCAUAGUGAUGGCACAGAUUGUGUACAUCCUAAGCGGCACAAAAGGGACGCGUGGAGUGGCAUCUCGACGAACGCCUUUGUGAAUCUCUGUGAUUCGUUCAUCUCUCCCUUACAUCUGGGGUUUUGCUCUGCCUUCUGAUUAUUAUUCCACCCACUAGUUACUGUGUCUGAGAAAAUAGGUAAGCUGAGGAUUCAUGCAGAACUUAAGCACGUCAAUCAUGACAUCAAAUACCUUCAGUAUGCAGGAAAAAUUGGAAGAGCUUGAGAAAGCAAAUGUGUCAGUCAUAUGCAUAGAGUAAGCAUUUUUUUUUUUUUGGGUAAAGAAGAAAUGAGAAAUUGCUGAUAUAUGAUACAAGAAGAAAGUUGAAAUUGAUUAUGAGAUCUACUAAUUAUUGUCUCAAUUAGAAGUUCAUGUUGUUCUUAUUCUUAUUAGUUAUUAUGAUAUUGAUAUGGCUUAAAUUUCAGUUUGCUGCAAAACGUGGAAAGUAGGCUUGAUCCACUUAUUCUUAUUAGUUAUUAUGAUAUUGGUAUGGGAUCGAUGGUUUGAAUGUCCUCAGGAUCCACACGAAUGUACAUGUUUGAUUCUAUGAAACAUGUACAAGGGUUUAAACAUGUUUGCGUUCCAAUCAAGUGUUACACUCUAAUUAGAGCUUAAUUGAGGAUAUGUACAAGUAUAAUUAUAAAGAGGGUCCAGUCUUCUCUAAAGAUUAUUGGUUUUUGAGGAAGUUGGCUAUACUUUUAAGUUGCCAAGUCGAAUAGAGAUAGAUCCAACCAGUAUGCUGCCAACCAUAACGAUGAUUUCAUUGAAUCAAAAUCUGACAGACAGAUGCUGCUUCUUAUGAAGGAAGCAGGAUGAGGAGUUGGAUGAGCUUAGUUUAAGUGUAUUUGUGAGGGCUUUUUCUUCUCUGAUUCAAUACUAGGAGCCUAAGUGGCAAGUCCAGGAAAAGAUUAUAGAUGAACUGGGUAAUUAGAUGGACAGUACAUCCAAUCAUUUAGAUUUUGUACAAAAAAAAGAAGGCUAGUGCAAAGGGUCAAAUCAUGAACUGUUUAUUUUCCUCUUCAUCUUGGUGUUCUAAUUAAAUUACACUGUUAUGUAUAGCAAUUAAAUUCAUUUGAGAUUGGCCCUUGUUUUUUACAUGAAGAGAGAGAUAUCUCAGUUUUUGCGAGAAGAUACAAGAUUGUUGGGACAUGCUUUAGUGUCUAUUAAUCAAAUGGAAGCCAUUUUGGUAUUUCAAGGCAUUAGAAUUUUAUGAUUGUGAUGAUAAAGAGACAAUGUAAGGAUUUAGAUUCUCUGAACAUUUGGAUUACAAAUAUGAUUGGAUUUAGGGUUAUUCGGAUUAAAAUUGUUCUCUUAGAUGUAAUGUAAUGUGAUGUCAACUUAUUUUUAACAUCCUUUUAGAAUAUGAUAGCAUGGAGUUUUAAACCUA